rnacentral:rRNA from 1 species
UACGUAGGGUGCGAGCGUUAAUCGGAAUUACUGGGCGUAAAGCGUGCGCAGGCGGUUCGCUGUGUCCGAUGUGAAAGCCCCGGGCUUAACCUGGGAAUGGCAUUGGAAACUGGCGGGCUUGAGUGUGGCAGAGGGGGGUGGAAUUCCGCGUGUAGCAGUGAAAUGCGUAGAGAUGCGGAGGAACACCGGUGGCGAAGGCGGCCACCUGGCUCGGUACUGACGCUGAGGCGCGACAGCGUGGGGAGCAAACAGG